UACGUAGGGUGCGAGCGUUAAUCGGAAUUACUGGGCGUAAAGCGUGCGUAGGCGGUCCCGCAAGUCCGCUGUGAAAGCCCCGAGCUUAACUUGGGAACUGCAGUGGAAACUAUGGGACUUGAAUCCGGCAGAGGGGGGUGGAAUGCCACGUGUAGCAGUGAAAUGCGUAGAGAUGUGGCGGAACACCGAUGGCGAAGGCAGCCCCCUGGGCUGAGAUUGACGCUCAGGCACGAAAGCGUGGGGAGCAAAC
rnacentral:rRNA from 1 species